GACGAACGCUGGCGGCGUGCUUAACACAUGCAAGUCGAACGAAGUGGCGAACGGGUGAGUAACGCGUAAUCCACCUGCCCUUCAGAGGGGGACAACAGUUGGAAACGACUGCUAAUACCGCAUACUGAAGGAGGGGCUUGCGGCUGAUUAGCUAGUUGGAGGGGUAACGGCCCACCAAGGCGAGGAUAAGUAGCCGGUCUGAGAGGAUGAACGGCCACAUUGGGACUGAGACACGGCCCAGACUCCUACGGGAGGCAGCAGUGGGGAAUUUUGGGCAAUGGGCGAAAGCCUGAUCCAGACAUGCCGCGUGUCUGAAGAAGGCCUUCGGGUUGUAAAGGACUGUUGUCAGGGAAGCGGUACCUGAAGAAUAAGCACCGGCUAACUACGUGCCAGCAGCCGCGGUAAUAC
rnacentral:rRNA from 1 species